rnacentral:rRNA from 1 species
CCCUGCCAUUUGUACACACCGCCCGUCGCUACUACCGAUUGAAUGGCUUAGUGAGGCCUUCGGAUUGACGGUCAGCCGCUGGCAACGGCGGCCGGCUGUUGAAAAGUUGGUCAAACUUGGUCAUUUAG